CAAAGGGUGCCUGAUAAAAGGAAUAUUUUGAUAGAAUAUAUAAUGUAAAUAAUUUUGCCCCUUUGA
rnacentral:tRNA from 1 species